GCCCGUGUAAUUCAGCUGGUAGAAUGCUCGGCUGUUAACCGAGUUGUCGGUGGUUCAAGUCCACCCGCGGGCG
rnacentral:tRNA from 1 species